GAUGAACGCUAGCGGCAGGCCUAAUACAUGCAAGUCGAACGGUCAGUAGCAAUACUGAUAGUGGCGCACGGGUGCGUAACACGUAACUAACCUACCUAUAACUGGGGGAUAGCCCGCCGAAAGGCGGAUUAAUACCGCAUAAGCUAGUUAAACGGCAUCGUUUGAUUAGUAAAGAUUUAUUGGUUAUAGAUGGGGUUGCGGGUCAUUAGCUAGUUGGUAAGGUAACGGCUUACCAAGGCGACGAUGACUAGGGGAGCUGAGAGGCUGGUCCCCCACACGGGCACUGAGAUACGGGCCCGACUCCUACGGGAGGCAGCAGUAGGGAAUAUUGGGCAAUGGGCGAGAGCCUGACCCAGCCAUGCCGCGUGCAGGAAGAAGGCUUUCUGAGUCGUAAACUGCUUUUGACAGGGAAGAAUAAGCACUACGUGUAGUGCGAUGACGGUACCUGCAGAAUAAGCACCGGCUAACUCCGUGCCAGCAGCCGCGGUAAUACGGAGGGUGCGAGCGUUGUCCGGAUUUAUUGGGUUUAAAGGGUGCGUAGGCGGCCCGUUAAGUCCGGGGUGAAAGCCCGCUGCUCAACAGCGGAACUGCCCUGGAUACUGACGGGCUUGAGUACAGACGAGGUUGGCGGAAUGGACUGAGUAGCGGUGAAAUGCAUAGAUACAGU
rnacentral:rRNA from 1 species